GGCUCAGGAUUAACGCUGGCGGCAUGCCUAAUACAUGCAAGUCGAACGAGAUCUUCGGAUCUAGUGGCGAACGGGUGAGUAACACGUAGGAAACCUACCUCAAAGUCGAGGAUAACUAUUGGAAACGAUAGCUAAAACUGGAUAGGAUAUCGGAAGGCAUCUUCUGAUAUUUAAAGGCCCUUCUGGGGACGCUAUGAGAUGGUCCUGCGGUGCAUUAGCUAGUUGGUAGGGUAGUGGCCUACCAAGGCGAUGAUGCAUAGCUGAGCUGAGAGGCUAAACAGCCACACUGGUACUGAGACACGGACCAAACUCCUACGGGAGGCAGCAGUGAGGAAUAUUCGUCAAUGGGGGAAACCCUGAACGAGCAAUGCCGCGUGAGUGAUGACGGUCUUUAUGAUUGUAAAACUCUGUUGUAAGGAAUGAAACCUUAAGAUAGGAAAUGAUCUUAAGCUGACGGUACCUUACCAGAAAGCCCCGGCUAACUACGUG
rnacentral:rRNA from 1 species